rnacentral:rRNA from 1 species
GAUGAACGCUGGCGGCGUGCCUAACACAUGCGAGUCGAGCGGCAGCGAGGGGUGCUUGCACCCUGCCGGCGAGCGGCGGACGGCUGAGUAACGCGUGGGAACGUGCCCCAAAGUGAGGAAUAACUGCCCGAAAGGGUAGCUAAUACCGCAUAUUAUCUUCGGAUCAAAGGAUUUAUCCGCUUUGGGAGCGGCUCGCGUCGGAUUAGGUAGUUGGUGAGGUAAUGGCUCACCAAGCCGACGAUCCGUAGCUGGUCUGAGAGGAUGACCAGCCAGACUGGAACUGAGACACGGUCCAGACUCCUACGGGAGGCAGCAGUGAGGAAUCUUCCACAAUGGGCGAAAGCCUGAUGGAGCAACGCCGCGUGCAGGACGAAGGCCUUCGGGUUGUAAACUGCUUUUAUAAGUGAGGAAUAUGACGGUAACUUAUGAAUAAGGAUCGGCUAACUACGUG